UACAUGUGGGGCAAGCGUUGUUCGGAAUUACUGGGCAUAAAGGGUGCGUAGGUGGUUUGUUAAGUCACGGGUGAAAGUUUUCGGCCCAACCGGAAAAUUGCCCGUGAUACUGGCGAACUUGAGUGCGUGAGGGGUAACCGGAACGAGCAGUGUAGCGGUGAAAUGCGUAGAUAUUGCUCGGAAGGCCAGAGGCGAAGGCGGGUUACUGGUGCGCAACUGACACUGAUGCACGAAAGCGUGGGGAGCAAACAGG
rnacentral:rRNA from 1 species